CAGCAGCCACGGAAUACGAAGGGUGCAAGCGUUACUCGGAAUUACUGGGCGUAAAGCGUGCGUAGGUGGUGGUUUAAGUCCGUUGUGAAAGCCCUGGGCUCAACCUGGGAAUUGCAGUGGAUACUGGGUCACUAGAGUGUGGUAGAGGAUAGUGGAAUUUCCGGUGUAGCAGUGAAAUGCGUAGAGAUCGGAAGGAACAUCUGUGGCGAAGGCGACUAUCUGGGCCAACACUGACACUGAGGCACGAAAGCGUGGGGAGCAAACAGGAUUAGAUACCCCUGUAGUCCCUGUCUCUUAUACA
rnacentral:rRNA from 1 species